rnacentral:lncRNA from 1 species
UUAAUUCUAUUUUGUAUAUAUUUGUUAAGUUCGAAUCCCCUGCCAAAUGAUCUUUAAAAUUAUUUAUUCAUGGACCCAAAAAAACCCAUUUUUUCGUCAAAUUCUGUCAUUAUUCAAAACCAAAAUCUAGUUUCCUGAGAGUCCAAUUAAAUCCUUCAUAAAGACUAAAAGAAGCUCGAAUUAAACAUCUCUUACUCGGGUAAUUCUAUCUAUAUCAAAGCCUAUUUUUCAGAAAAAAUUAAAAUUUAGUGUAUUUUAUUUCAAAUUUUAAAGAUUGCGAGCAAAAUCAAAAUCCGUCUAAAUUUUAUGUAUUUUGCGGCAAUUUACGCAUAAACAUAGUAGUAAUUAACUAAUUAAUAAUCAAUUAAAAAUAGGCACAGUGUGAACAAGAGAUGAAUAAGUCAAGAAUUACCUGAUUUCCAAUCUAUAAAAUUGGGGAUUUUCAGAGAAAAAGACAGAUUUUCAAGUCAACCCAGAAGAAAACAUGUUGUUGGAUGAGGGUGGCUGAGCUCGCGGCGGAGGAAGGGUGGCUGCGACGGUGGUUUUGAGCGGCUAAAAGUGAAGAGAGGAGUGGAUAGAUGAGUGAGAGAGAAGCACUGGCAUUAUUUGGCUACUAAAGCAAAAUGGAGCGCAAACAGUUGAGCUAUGCCAUUGGCGAAUCUUUGCUUUUUCACUUUUUUUUUAACUUCUUUUUCUGUUUUUCAACUUUUUCUUUUCCAUGUUUUUGGUUUGUCGGUUUCACAAAAAGUACUAUUGCAUGACUUUAUUUGACGCAAUUGUAAUUUAAUAUGUUUGAACAAAAAAGUACUAGUUAAAUACUUUAACAAAUAUAUUUAUUUAAAACUUUUGAUUAAAAAAAUAGUUAUUUUUAUUAUUUUCUCCAUAUUUUAUUUUAUAAUUUUUAAUAUUUUAUUUAAAAAUUGUUAUUUUUAAAGAGCAUAAAAAUUACAAAUAAAAAGUAAAAAUUAAAAUAGCACCUUAGAUUUCUCUCUAUUGAUCAUCACUUUCAACGAAAACGUAGCAUUCUUGUUCUUGUUUUUCUCAGACAUUUUGGUGGAGGCGAAGAUUUUUCUACAAUUCUAUUUUCUUAUUUGUGAAACAUCAACCUUUCAAGUUCCACCAUAUUAAUAUUAUUUGUAUCUCAUAAAGAGGGUGAAUGCAGAGAGUCUCGGAAUUGGUAGGACUAAUGACUCUUAGGUUAACUUCUUCCCCAUAAAAAGGGAGGGUUUGGUGUUAAGAAGGAUGUCAAGUUGUCGUUGAAAGUGAUGAUAAAUAUAGAGAGAAAUGAGGUACACAAUAUAUAUUUCGAAUUUUUACUCCAAUAACAUUUACGAUAAUUCUUAUUUCAACAAACAAAUAAUAGUUACUCCAUCUCAUAUAUUGUGCAACUUAAAUUUUUUGAUACUCAUAUAUUAUUAAAUAAUUAAUUAAAUUUUAAAUAUAAACCAGUUAGGUCAUCUAGCUGCUUAAUUCGAAGCUAGCUACUGCAUAGAGUUUAAUUUGAUUUUGUAUCUAAUAUAAAGAGCGAAUGCAGAGAGUCUUGGAAUUUGGUGGGACUAUGUUACUCCAAUAGCAUUUGCAUAAUGGAAAAAGAUCCAAAUGAAUGGAAAAACCAAGAUCCAUAAUUUAAAAUAAAAAUGAAGCAGCAUAUUGCUAUUAAAAUAAGCAGAAAAACAAUACUAUUUGGAAUUGGAGCAUGGAUCGCAGUCAGACUUUUUCUCUCUUAGGUCGUUUGAGUGAUUUGCGAGUCAUCAGAGCAUCAGUGAGAGCAGUAGAAGAAGUAAGAGAGGCUUUCAGUAUGCUUAAAGCCUGCACCAACACAAUUCAUCUCAUCAACAUCUAAUUACAUACAUUCAGAAAUAUAUAAGAUUUCAAAUGAUACAGGUUACCUCUUUCAGCCCGAUUUGCAUCUCCACUUCUUUGACAUCAGAUAUCGAGAUUUCCUGCUCUUUAAGUGAGGAAAGUGUCGAGGCAAAGCAGAAAGGCGUAACAGUUAAAUCAUCGGCCACGUGAUAAGUUGGAGAUCCUUUAAGAUAACUUCCCUGCCCAUUGGGAAACUUAACAGAAGAAAAAUUGUAUUUACGAUCAUAGUCAGCAGGCAAGGAUUCUUCAGUGAGGGGGAAAAUGUAGUCUUUCGAAACAUAGCCAUGAGGUAGAGUGGGAUUCAUUAGCCUCUUUUUCGUAUCCGGGGUAAUGAAAUGCUUGCUAUCUAUAACGUCGGAUGUGUUCCGGUACAAGUUGUCUAUAGCCUUAACACAAGUGCUACCGGCAAGAAGAUGCUCAACUCCUCCAAGUGGGAUGUAGAGGAAACUAAACAGAAACUCUACAAACUGUUUAUUAGCUUGAGCAUACACAACCUUACCAGUAGAUUGUUGUAUCAUCACUUUCAAACUUAAAUUCCUAGAGUUAUUGGGAUUCUCUUCGUCUCCACUGUGUGGUUGAGACACCAUGAGUGUAGAGUAAAUCAGCUGUGUUGUUUUAUUUAGGAUGAUGUCCGACAAUGGAGUUGGGGACGUCAAGGAUGCCUUCAACAAAUUCAUAACCUAAUAGAAAUUAAGAGAUAACAAGUUAAAGAAAAUUUAGUGGGAGAUAUAAUAUAAAACAACCUUUAAUAACUUUGUUGUCUAUAGCUUAAUAGACAACUACUUUACUAUAUAUCUUUAAAUGUUGUCUAUGUUAUAUGUCUAUAUACGUUUUUCACGUAGUGUGGAAACAAAUUAAAAUUACCUCAUUGAAGCCCAAAUCCACUUUGAUUUGCUCGGCGUUAUCCAUGUCUGUAAUGCCAAGAAAGCUAAUGAUUCCUAAGAAUCCUGUCUCAUUUGGAAAUAUGUGGAGAUCAUCAGAGAUUAUGAAAGAUGAUGUAUUCAUGGUGAAAACUCCAUCUCUAGAUGCAGCAGCUUCAGACCCUUUCUUACCUACUUCUUUAAUCAUACUAUCAUGUAAGCAAAUUUUGCACCUAUUGACAUGAUCAUAGUAGAUGCUUAGGCUACGAAAUCUAUUAGGCUGAUGAGUGUGAUACCGAAUGAUGGGAUAUUUACUACAAUAGAAAUAUUCAGCAGGCUGAAAAUCAGUGAUAUCGAGUUUCAGCCUCCUGUAUUCAUCUUCCAAUGAACUUGUUGGAUCAAGCAGAGUCUGCUUAGCUCCAUCAGUCCAGAAAUAUGCACUGUCGAGAUUUACUAAGCUACGGUACAAACUGCUUAAGCUACCAAUGGUAGGCGCCUCGUCUCCAUAGUGCUUCUCGAGGACUUUCACAAUUCUUCCCAAUGGCAAACUCAAGAAGCUUAACAAAAUGUCUGCAAAAUGGCUGUCGGAGUCUGCGAAGAGCACCUUAGUUCUCUCUUUAUUGAUCAUCACUUUCAACGAAAAUGUCGCACCUUUUUUAUCAUCAGCCAUUCUUGAAAUAUAUAUAUGUGGUACAAACAAAGAAAUAUUUGAAUAAUGUAAACGAAAGAUUUCAGCAAUCCCUGCAAUUUUAUGGGGGAAGAAGUUAACCUAAGAGUCGUUAGUUUACUCCCUCCAAAUUAAUUGGCAAAUUCCAAGACUCUCUACAAAUUCCAAGAAUCGUUACAAAAAUUAACCAAGCGCCACUAGUCCCACCAAAUUUCAAGAUCCAUCCGAUUUAUUUGAUUAAUUUCCCGAUUUAUUUAUUCCAAAAAAAUAGAUUUUAUUUUAGAUUGAAAAAGUGAAGUAGCAGUACCUCUUCCAAAUAAGUGUCAAUUUGUCCAACAAAAUUCCAAGAUUAUCUGCAUUGAUCACUCUCCCUUUUUACGAGUCACAGAAAUUAACCAAACGUUGCACCAAAUUCCAAGACCUUCUAGAGUCGAGAAGAAUAAUCUGCUUAACUGUAUAUAUUGGUAUUUAUCAUACGAGAAUAAUUAGAAAGUCAAAUCAACAAUAUGUAUUCUUGUGCUAAAUAAUACUAAACACUAGAUUGAUCUGUACUAAAUUAGCUAAUACAGUGUAUUAGCCAAUAUCAAACACGCACUUAGUUUAGUUUGGCUUCUAUUUAGUGUUGAACAAUAUAUAUUCUUGUGGUUGAAUGUAUUUGCGUUGUGAUUGUCUAUUCAUUUAAGCAGUUUGCAAUAGCUUUGGUGCUUGUAUUGUUGUGCAAAUUUUGAUCUUGUUUUAGUGAUUUCACUACGGAUCAAUGUUUUUGUUCAUUUUGAUAUUGUUAUGCAUCUGUUUCCUUUGUUUAAUAUUGCAGAACUUCGACAUAAUGAGGCUCUUUCUAGUAGUAUAUAAAGUUGAUUUUAGAGGAAAGAUAAGGUUGAAAAUAACAGAAUUUGUGCAAGUUUGAUUCUAGUUAUAAAGGAAAAGGUCCAAAUGAACAAAACACAUAAAUUAAGUCAUUCCAAAAGGGAAAAUGAAAACUUUGCAAACAGACAAAAGGUCCAAAUGAAGCACUGCACCAAACAUAAUUUAAAAUAAAAAUGAAACACCAUAGCUAUUAAAAAACAAGCUGAGUUUGCAACAUGUAGGAGCAGAAAAAACAUAUUAGGAAGCAUGGAUCACAGUCAGUCUUCUUCUCUCUUAGGUUGUUUGAGCGAUUUGUGAGUCAAGAGAGCAUCAGUGAGAGCAGUAGUAGAAGUAAGAGAGGCUUUCAGUAUGCUACAAGCCUGCACCAACACAAUUCAUCUCAACAUCUAAACAUAUAUACAAAAUCAAUCAAAUGAUACAGAUUUCAAAUUGUAUUACCUCUUUCAAUCCAAUUCGCAGCUCCAUUUCUUUUACAUCAGAUAUUGAGAUUUUCUUCUCCCUGAGACUGGAAAGGAUCGAGACAAUACAAAAAGGCAACACAGUUAAGUCAUCCUUUACCUGAUAAGUCCGUGGUCCUCGAAGAUAUCUCCCUUGGCCAUUGGGAAACUUAAGAGAAGAAAACAAAAAUAGUUUUUCAAGGUAAAAAGGAGGCAAUGAUUCUUCGGUGAGGGGAAGAAUGUGGUUUUGAGAUAUACAACCAUGUGGCAAAUUGGACUCCAUUAGCCUCUUUUUUGUAUGUGAGCUCUUGAAAUACUUGCAAUUUCUAGGAUCAGCUGUGCUCCGGUAAAGGUUGUCUAUAGCCUUAACACAUGUUUCGCCUCCAAGAAGAUGCUCAGCUCCUCCUAGUGGGAUAUGAAGGAAACUAAAUAGAAACUCCACAAAAUCUUCCUUAGCUUGAGCAUACAAAAACUUGCCGGUAGAUUUUUGUAUAAUCACUUUCAAACUUAAAGCCCUAGAGUUGGCAUUUUCUUCUUCAAUAUUUAGUUGAGAUUCCACUGUUGAAGAGUUCAUCUGUAUUGUUUUAUUCAAUAUGAGGUCCGACAAUGGAGUUGGAGACGUCAAGGAUGCCUUUAACAGGUUCAUAAUCUAAACAAAAUACACAAUUAAUAAGCCAUGAAAACACAGAAUUGAAGAAGAUUGAGAUUAGAGAGUCAAGAAUCACCUCAUUGAACCCUAAAUCAACUUUGAUCAACUCAGCCUUAGGGGUGGCACGGUACGGUAUACCUUAUUAAAUCGACCAUACCUUAUACCUUACCUUUACCUCCGGUAUGGAGAAAAUUNAGUAGAUGUAAGAGAGGCUUUCAGUAUGCUGCAAGCCUGCACCAACAAAAUUUAUUUCAGCAUCUAAACAUACAUUCAGAAAUAUAACAACCAAGAUUUCAAAUAUACAGUUUAAUCACCUCUUUCAGCCCUAUUUGCAUCUCCACUUCUUUGACAUCAGAUAUCGAGAUUUUCUGCUCUUUAAGAGAGGAAAGUGUCGAGGAAAAGCAGAAAGGCGUAACAGUUAAAUCAUCCGCCACGUGAUAAGUUGGGGAUCCUUUUAGAUAACUUCCCUGCCCAUUGGGAAACUUAACCGAAGAUAACAAGUUCAGAUAAUCAUUGUACUCAGCAGGCAAGCAUUCUUCAGCGAGGGGGAAAAUGCAGUGUGCUGAAAUGUAGCCAUGAGGUAGAAUGGGUGUCAUUAGCCUCUUUUUUCGUAUCCGGGGUAAUGAAAUGCUUGCUAUCUGCAAGGUCGGAUGUGCUCCGGUACAAGUUGUCUAUAGCCUUAACACAAGUGUUACCGGCAAGAAGAUGCUCAACUCCAACCAAUGGGAUGUAGAGGAACUAAACAGAAACUCCACAAACUGUUUAUUUGCUUGAGCAUACGCAACCUUACCAGUAGAUUGUUGUAUCAUCACUUUCAAUCUUAAAUUCCUCGAGUUGUUUGGAUUCUCUUCCUCUGUAGUGUGUGGUUGAGUCACCAUGAAUUUAGAGUAAAUCAGCUGUGUUGUUUUAUUUAGGAUGAUGUCCGACAAUGGAGUUGGGGACGUCAAGGAAGCCUUCAACAAAUUCAUAAUCUAACAAUAACAUGAUAUACACAAAUUAAAUAAAUAACUAGUUAUAACAAAGAUUGAGAUUAGAGAAAACCAAAAAUUACCUCAGUGAAGCCCAAAUCCACCUUGAUUUGCUCGGCGUUAUCCAUGUCUGUAAUGCCAAGAUAGCUAAUGACGCCUAAGAGUCCUGUCUCACUUGGAAAUAUGUGGAGAUCAUCAGAUAUUAAGAAAGAUGAUGUAUUCAUGGUGAAAACUCCAUCUCUAGAUGCAGCAGCUUCAGAUCCUUUCUCAACUACUUCUAUUUUCAUAGCAUCAUUAUAUGAGCAAAAUUUGCACCUCUUGACAUGAUCAUAGAAGAUGCUUACGCUACGAAAUCUAAAAGACUGAGGGUGAUAGAAACAAUAGAAAUAUUCAGCAGGCUGAAAAUCAGUGAUGUCGAGUUUCAGCCUCCCGUAUUCAUCUUCCAAUGAACUUGUUGGAUCAAGCAGAGUCUGCUUAGCUCCAUCAGUCCAGACGUAGGAACUGUCGAGAUUUACUAAGCUACGGUAUAAACUGCUUAAGCUACCAAUGGAAGGCGCCUCGUCUCCAUAGUGCUUCUCGAGGACUUUCACAAUUCUUCCCAAUGGCAAACUCAAGAAGCUUAACAAAAUGUCUGCAAAAUGGCUGUCGGAGUCUGCAAAGAGUACCUUAGUUCUCUCUUUAUUGAUCAUCACUUUCAACGAAAAUGUAGCACCCUUUUUAUCAUCAGUCAUUCUUGAAUUUGAUACAGAAGUCGUCACUGCACUAAUUAGUUUAUAUGUGUAUUGAUCUAAUAGUAGAAUAUAAUUAAUGUUUGAGGUUAAAGGUAUCAAGAUUGCUAUUUGGACAUAAUAUGUUCAUAUAUAAAAUGGUCAAAUAUAUAAAAAUCGAUUAAUUUAAAAAUUUUGGCUCAAAAUAAAAAAGGAUUAAUUUAGUUAAUUAAAAAUAAAGACAGCUACAAUGUGAACAAAAUUUUAAAACUAGCUAAUUUUUUUUUAUUUUUUUAAAUCGAAAAUUUUAUAUUAAUUUUAUUUUGUAUAUAUUCAUUCAUGACCCAAAAAAACCCAUCUUUUCGUCAAAUUCUGUCAUUAUUCAAAACCAAAAUCUAGUUUCCUGAGAGUCCAAUUAAAUCCUUCAUAAAGACUAAAAGAAGCUCGAAUUAAACAUCUCUUACUCGGGUAAUUCUAUCUAUAUCAAAGCCUAUUUUUCAGAAAAAUUAAAAUUUAGUGUAUUUUAUUUCAAAUUUUAAAGAUUGCGAGCAAAAUCAAAAUCCGUCUAAAUUUUAUGUAUUUUGUGGCAAUUUACCCAUAAACAUAGUAGUAAUUAACUAAUUAAUAAACAAUUAAAAAUAGACACAGUGUGAACAAGAGAUGAAUAAGUCAAGAAUUACCUGAUUU